GCUUGUGUGCUGGCGUCUGGGAUCGAUUGCCAGAUGCUUUCGCUCAGUCCCGGCGUCCUCCCACCUGGCAGGUCGGAACGCCGGGGAGCCCGGCUGCUCCCCGCCGAGGUUUUUCUCGUUUCUAAGGUGGGGAGCCCUGGCAAAGGAGCUGGUCGUGGUGGACUCGUCAGGGGAUAAAGAUGGAGACCCCUCGUCUGAGUCGGCAGGAAAGAGACCUGUUCCCGCACAGUGGGUGUCACACUAGCCGGGGCCAAGUGCGGCGGCGGUAGCAGAGCGAGGCCCAGUAGCCCACAACCGAGUCUUGCCACUCCACGGCCCACGACGGAGUCUCGCCACUCCACGAGCCGGGAGCCUCCCCGUGGGUGAGGACAGUAGUAGGUAAGUAGGAGGUGUGGGGGGAUCUGUUGACUUUUCUUCUUCUUUUUUUUAAAGAGUGUGUGAGUGGGAAGGAAAGGCAGAGGCAGAGGGAGAAGCAGGCUCUGCACCGAGCAGGGAGCGGAUGCGGAGCCCAUCCCAGGACCCCAGGAUCAGGACCUCAGCUGAAAGCAGACAUUUAACUGACUGAGCCACCCAGCUCACAAAAUGCCUGAAAGCUUAGCAGUUGGCCCCGCUGAGCGACGUGAGCCGCCCCCACUCGGCAGCUUUGUCCUCCUCCUUCUGUGUAAACGAUCUAGUCCUGUGACGUGGGGAUGCUCUGGAACUCCAGUGGGCAGCCAAGAAUUCCAGACCCGUGAGACAUGAAGCCGACCGUCAAAGAUCCGUGGCCAGGAUGUGCUGGAGUCUGAUGAGUUCCGGGGAGGAUGGAUGCUGUUUCAGCCCUGGGGGAUCCAGAGGGCCUGGACAGUGACGUAGGAGGUACAGGGAGCUGCCUCACUGAGGACAUUGGAGUAAAAUCUGAAAAAGGGAAGGUAAACAUCGUCGCGUCCGCGCAGGCGCCGGAACCACGCGCAGGAGCGCUCGCGGCACUGUGGUCCCUGAGAAAGAGACAGAUGUCAGCCGGCAGCGGAACAGACGCCUCAGCUGGGGUAUCGUCACAGAAUGGAAGCUGACAGGACACAAACGAGUCACACUUCUACACAGCAACACAGAUGAAUACACAGAUGAAUCUGCCAAACCGGAUUUUCUGCGAGAAAGACACCAGGCACAAAAGACUGCAUGUUAUGUUUCCUGAUUCAAAAAGUUUAAAGAAGGUUGGGAUCUUCUAAGGACUGUUUUCCAUGAAAGAAUUUUCAGCAUCAGAAUGAACUUGAAAACCUCCAGUUUGCUUUCUAGGUAGGUUCAGGAGCUGCUUAAGUGCUACUCACUGUUUUCAUCUCUCAGUACCAAAAUACUGAAUGAAUAUUUGCUGCACAACCAUGGAGUAUGUAGCAUAUUAGCAGCUUUAUAAAUAAAAGGAUAAAAUCAACCCACAAGAUUUUGGGAGGAGCUGCUGCUGCCAUUGACUGAAUCCUAUUUCCAGUGGUCCCCUUUCUGUGUGGGACAUGGGAUAGUGCGGAUCUGUGGGUCACUUCCCACGUCGCAUGGCUUUACCUAAGAGCAGCCAGGCAGCGCUGGGUUCUUUAGGGGCAGAGGGUCUACACACGCACACCUGGACCUGUGCCCUCUCUGAAGAAUUAGCAGAUACGUGAGCGAUCCUUUAAAAAACACCAAACCCUAUGUGAGUGUGGAAGAGAGUGGCUGCUUACAAAAGCUCCUUCGUCUUCAGUGCACGGGAAUGAGGAUACCUUACCUGCCUCCUUAUCUGUUUCCUCUGUAGUUAGGAUUCCCCAUGUGGAAUGGGACGGUGCCCUGUAAAGAGUUCGGAGGAAAGAAUGAUAAAUUGGUUCAAAGAGAACACCCACUGAUUCUAAGAUCAUAAAACUUAAUCUAGUUUCUUUCACUCAUUGACCUUGAACGUAGCCCGACAUUCACGCCGGGUGAAAGCACAGCGCUCUGAAGAUCUGGUGGGCCCUUCAUAGCUGGUGGGGCUGCUGUGGCCUGAAGUCCGAGCGCAGCGCUCCCUGCGGCUCGCCCGCACGGAAACAGACACUAACGCACCUCCGAAGCUUGUCUAGCUCUGAGCAUUCCACAGUCUUUGAAAAGCUGGAACGGUCAUGAUUGCCCUAAAAUUGGAGCUUAUGGACAGGAAGGGUGGGUGAUCUUUGCCCUCUUUUGGGAAGGAUUGUCAGUCCUCCGUUAACAGUGUGGUGCCAGUGUUUGGACAGAGGGACUGACGCACAACAGGAAGUCCAGAAGUCGACAACACAGGAAUUUUGUAUGCCAUAAAGACAGCACUUUUUUUUUUAAUAGGUUCCACACCCAGUGCAGAGCCAAAGGUGGGGCCCGAACUCAUGACCCUGAGAUGAAGACUCGAUCUGAAAUCAAGAGUUGGACGCUCCACCAACUGAGCCCCCCAGGAGCCCCAUCGACAGCCUUUAUCAUCACUGGGAGUAAAGACGGACUUCAUUAGUGUGAGACGAUGGGAUAAUCGUUUGUAAAACACCAUAUAUACCAGGAUAAACUCCAAAUAGAUCAAAGAUUGACAUGUUAAAAAGAACAGAACAAAAACCCAGGUGAAAAUAGAGGUGAAUUCCUUUGAUUCUUGAAGUGGCAAAGACCCUUCUUAAUAUAUUGCUCAAAAUCCAAAAGCUGUGAAAGAAAAUAUUGACACAUUCAAUUACUGAAAGAUAAGGCCGGGUAGCAACAUUUUUCAAAGUUAAGACAAAGGACUAUCUGAGAAAACACCUGAUACAAAGGGCUCAGCUCUCUGAUACACACACGGAGCUUCCAAAACCAACACGAACUAUUGUUUUAUACGUUGUGUAUCAUGUACCUGUGGGAGGAGAUGGCCACAGGUCCAGGACAGACUGCUAGGUGAACAGCGGUAGAGAACUUGUAUGCAUUCUCCUGUGAGAGGACAAGGAAGAAAAGUGUGUUCUGUUUCUGUUUCCAUAGACACUGGAAAGGGAACUGAGUGGCCAAGGUCAGGGAUGUGGAAGUGGACUUCUCAGUGUAGAUCUCUCCAUGUAAUUUUGAUUUUGUAGCAAACUAUUUAUUAUAAAAUGAAAUAAAAUGAGUGGUGACCAAUGA